UUAUUUUACUUCUCAUUUCUGUUGCUGGGGAAGUAUUUAAGAAGCGAGAGCAAAACAUGCGUUCUUACACUCAUUGCAGACCCAAGUUGUUGGAAACUGGAAAUAAGGUUUUGGGUCAUUUUUUCAAACUUAUUUAUGGAGACUCUGGUGACAGCGUUCGAAUUAAUGCUGGAACGUAACUUUUCCAAUGAACUCGUUUCAACAUCCGACGAACACCUGAUUUGGGGAUUCCUAUCUCACGACUCAAUUGUCCUACGGAUUACUUUGGAGAUCGGGAAAGGAUUUCCAUUAAUUAGAUGUGUCUACUGGGGCUGGCGGAUGUUCGUGGUCUUCCAGAACGUUGCUUACUAGCGUUCUGAACAGUUCCAUAUGCUUCCAAUUUAUCUCUGAUGCGAGUAAUAAUGCGUCGGGUUGGUGGUGUUUUCUGAAACUGUGUGUAACAUUUUCGUGCUUCCAGUAGAACUUUAAUAUAAUCUCUUUUCCUCGAAUGUUAGUUGUGCAUUUGCCAUUGCGAAGGGUUGGUUGCGUCUGAAAUAAAAUAAAAAAAACAACAAUACAUUAGUAAUCGUCUGUCAAACAGUAUCAGGGUAUUUUCACGGGAUUGCGAUGAACUAGCACAACGAUUGUGCCCUUCUACGUUUGUAGUACUUCUCAAUAAUAAAUUCGAGUAUUGCAGUACUUACAAGGACUUUGAUAAAUGCUUUCGAUGGGAAAGCCUAUCUUGUUUAAAUCAGUACAGAACUAAAUUUAAUAGCGUAUGUGCGGGAAAGUCUGGUGACAGCGUUGGAAUAAGCAAAACAUUUCUAUUGCCGCUGAGUAUUCAAUAUAUUACUACAACUACAUUAGAUUGAAGGAUACACUUGUUUUAAUUGAAAAUAAUUCUAUUGAAACAUUUCUGUAGCAAAGGAAGCUGUUGUUUUGUUAUCACUGAAAUAGCGCAGUGUCAUCUGGACUGGAUUGCAUUGAAGUUGCUAGACGUGACUGUCCUUCUACCUUUCUAUAUCCUCUACUAGAUGUUAAGACAUUCUGCAGAAACUUCAAGGACUUUAAUUCUUGCCUCAGGGGAAUUUCCGAAACAUGUGUACAAUAUUUCAGGGAUAUGGAAUACAGCAGGUGCCCGAAUAAUUCUCCGCCGGGGAAGGUAUUGUGGAACAUAGUUGGAGUAAGCAAAAUAUUUCUACUGCCGCUGAGUCUUCAAUAUAUGACAACCAACUCGAUUUGAAGUUAACAGCCAGUCAGUGUUUGGAGCUGCUAUUGUAACUCUCUUACUUACAUAUACAUAAGUAUUUGUUAUGGCACUAGAAGUACGUAUGUCUAUUAAUUUGAAAAAAUUAUUCAAUGAGAUAAGCCAUGAAAACAGGAUUCAAUUAUUACAAGAGAACGACUUGACUACAUAUGUGUACAAUUUCGUACGUGACAUUAAGGAUAUCUAAUAAUGUCCUACACUGUACUCUUUAAAUAUAGAUUAAAUUAUCUUCUUGAUAUUUCAACGAC